GAUGAACGCUGGCGGCAUGCUUAACACAUGCCAGUCGGACGGGAAGUGGUGUUUCCAGUGGCGUACGGGUGAGUAACUCGUAAGAACCUGCCCUUGGGAGGGGAACAACAGCUGUAAACGGCUGCUACUACCCCGUAGUCUGAGGAGCACAAGGAGGAAUCCGCCUGAGGAGGGGCUCGCGUCUGAUUCGAUAGUUGGUGGGGCAAUAGCUUACCAAGGCGAUGAUCAGUAGCUGGUCCGAGAGGAUGAUCAGCCACACUGGGACUGGAAGAAGAGCCAGACUGGGAAGGGAGGAAGGAGUGGGGAACAUUGGGAAACAGGAGUGAGGAAGUUUCAGCAAUGGGCGAAAGGCUGACGGGGCAAUGCCGCGGGGAAGUAGAAGGCCUAGGGGUCGAGAACUGCUGGUCCCGGAGAAGAAGCAAUGACGGUAUCUGGAGAAUAAGCACCGGCUAACUCUGUG
rnacentral:rRNA from 1 species